AUACGAAGGGGGCUAGCGUUGUUCGGAUUUACAGGGCGUAAAGCGCACGUAGGCGGAUUGAUUAGUUAGGGGUGAAAUCCCGAGGCUCAACCUCGGAACUGCCUCUAAAACUGUCAAUCUCGAGACCGGAAGAGGUGAGUGGAACUCCUAGUGUAGAGGUGGAAUUCGUAGAUAUUAGGAAGAACACCAGUGGCGAAGGCGGCUCACUGGUCCGGUACUGACGCUGAGGUGCGAAAGCGUGGGGAGCGAACAGGAUUAGAUACCCCAGUAGUCC
rnacentral:rRNA from 1 species